rnacentral:rRNA from 1 species
AGAGUUUGAUCCUGGCUCAGAAUGAACGCUGGCGGCGCGCCUAAUACAUGCAAGUCGAGCGAGAAGACGUAGCAAUACGUUUGUAAAGCGGCGAACGGGUGAGGAAUACAUGGGUAAUCUGCCCUUCGAUGGGGGACAACAACCCGAAAGGGUUGCUAAUACCGCAUUCGUCGGCGAGUUCUGCGGAACACGUCGGGAAAGCUGCCCUCUACUUGUAAGGUAGCGUCGAAGGAGGAGCCCGCGUCCCAUCAGCUAGUUGGUAGGGUAAUGGCCUACCAAGGCAAAGACGGGUAGCUGGUCUGAGAGGACGACCAGCCACACUGGCACUGCGACACGGGCCAGACUCCUACGGGAGGCAGCAGUAGGGAAUAUUGCGCAAUGGGCGAAAGCCUGACGCAGCGACGCCGCGUGGGGGAUGAAGGUCUUCGGAUUGUAAACCCCUUUCGGGAGGGAAGAUGGAAUGGGGUAACCCAUUUGGACGG